rnacentral:snoRNA from 1 species
CUUGUCCUUUGUCCAUUUUCUAUUAAAGAGAUUAGCGUUGGAAACGCCCCAUAGAGUAACUGUGUGGUUUCCUUUAUUCAUAGAAUUACCUGUUAGAUCUGUGGGAAAGAACUACAAGACAGAG